CGGUAGGGAAUCACGUGACUUUUACGGUUACGCGUACAGACAAUAUGGCGGCCUAAAAACCUCGCUUCACAUGUGUUUUUCAGGUAAUUCUUUAUUAUAUCCCUUUUACUUACAUGCGGGACCUGAUGCAGCCUACGCGGAAUAAAGAAUUGUUGCCGCCUAUACCUUAGUUUCCACUCCUGUGCUCAUAGCUUUUACAAACACUCAAAAAUUCAACAGAAAUUUUCAAUGUGAACAAUUAUAUUUCGGGUAACAUUCACGCAAAAUUUGUAUUCUUUAUGAAUUUGAUUAAACGACGUCGAGUAAGCAAAGAGAAAAUAUUCAUAAAAUUUCUUUAUUUGAAAAUGUAAAUAUUAGGCAUGUUAAAUGUUGACUGGUCAUUUUCUAUUCCAAUACACGAGAGAAAAAUGAUUUGGGUAACUCCCACGCGUACUUUUAUUGUUGAUAACUUCCACGCAAUAUUUUAUGGGCAAGCAAUAUCUAUGCAGGUUAUAGCCUAGAUAUUGAUUGAGCAAAAUCAUGAUUUAUGCAUUUAGCCUUAAACGUUCAAAGAAUUUUGAAUAAUAUUAAAAAUACCGCCAAUAGUCCUGGAUAGAAUAAAGCCCCUAUGGAUAGCAGAAUACAUACUCACGUGAAUAUAUUAAAUGAAGUUUCGAUAUAGAUGAAUUAAUCGCAGAAAUUAAAAUACAAGUCUCAAAUAUAAGAAGGAGGUCGAUUUCAGUUUAAGCACAAUUACAGUUGUCAUUUUUUUAUAGUUUGCAGAUAUGGGCGGUUCCAGUUCGGAUAUUGUUUGUGGAUAAUGUUGGACAACAUUUGUCUUAAUGACCACAUAAACUGGCUACUCGGCACAGGACCUUGUAAAUGUUGUGGCAAAUCGAAACGUGACAGAUCCUGGUCCUGGCUGAAAUUUAGAGUAUUACAGCUGUAGCUUCUAUACCAUAAAUUUAACAUGGAAAGGACUGUUCUUGGGAAAGUUUUUCUUACCAAUAAUAGAAGCAGUAGAAGUAUUCAAACACCAUCAUGACACACUUUAGACAUACCAAGAGAGCUCUAGAAGAAGAACUAGUGGUAGAUUGGAACAGAUUGUAGCUUAAUUGUUAAACUAAAAGGACUUCUUAAAUCGUUUGAAUUUAAGCUACACUUGAACUGAAGUUUUGAAAUAAAAUAGCUGAAGUAUUUAAUAGUGUCUUGAUUUUUUUUGUUAAACUCUGUUACGUACAGUACUUAGCUUUAUUUUUAUAUUAAAGUAUGUUGAAAUGACAUUGAAACUUCAACGUUGUGCCAACGUUGAACUUCAACGUUUUUUAAACUUUCAAAUUUGAACAUAAAUCUAGCGUUAUUUCAACGUUGAAAUCUGACCAUACUUCAACGUUGUUCACCGUUGAUGUGCCUGCUGGGUUACUUCUUUCAAGGACUAUUGGCG